AUCACAGCGCCAUCACAGUGCGGUCAUCUGGCUAUCGGGGUUGUGUUUUCUGAACGUAGCCAUUAUUAGCAUGGGACAGUAAAAGAAGUGAGUGAAAUGAAAAUAACAGCAUGCUGAAGACUCAAGAAUCAAGAUCGAGCUUCUUUCACUUUCAGAACGCAACGGACGCAGGAUGGACCGGGACCGGAGCAAAUAUGGCAUCGCGAAUCUCUUAAUUGGUGAUAUAUAUCAAUCAUACGUAAUUGUAAUUCGUUUGAACGCGUAUCUGUCAAUAUACUUGUUCGAGCGAAGAUCGCGAUUCGUAGCGACAUGUCAAUCGUGAUACGCAAAGAUCGAGGCAGUUCUGACAUGGACCGGUGCCGGGAAGCAAAUGUCGCGCCAUAUCUAUCUACUUGAAUGCGACGAACGCAGAAUGAAUCGAUUCCGGGACGAAUGGCAUUGCAAAUUACUUAAUUGAUCGUGACAAUCGACAUGGAUCGGUUCCGGGGCGGAUGACAUCGCGAUAUUUAUUUGAAACCAAACAAUUUUGUUGGUGGUCCUGGCAGGGUCAUGAAAAGAAGUGCUGAAGGCAGAAAAGGUAGAGGUAGCAGAAGAGAAUCUUUCAGUAGAGGAAGAGGCGGCAAUAAUGGAGGUUUCAAAAGUCGGAGGUGGUAGAUUUAAUCGUUCAGGUGGAGGUCGAGGAGGAGACAGAGGAAGAUGGUAGAUUUAAAAUAUGUGUAUACUAGAAUAAAUCCUUAAAAUAUGAAUUAUAAUGAUCAAUCUUGUAAAUGACAAAGGGAUUAAAUUUUAUACAAGUUAAUUUUUCUAAAUUUUCUUUAAUGGUUUUAAUUGUAUAAUAAGUGUCAUUAUUUAUAUGUUGUGUUAUGUGUUAUACGGAUUUGACGGCAUAAGGCGCGCGUGCGUGCGUGCACAUAUCCAUAAAAAAUAUAAUAAUCAAUCCUGA